AUGAACGCUGGCGGCGUGCUUAACACAUGCAAGUCGAACGGGAAUUAUUUUAUUGAAACUUCGGUCGAUUUAAUUUAAUUCUAGUGGCGGACGGGUGAGUAACGCGUGGGUAACCUGCCUUAUACAGGGGGAUAACAGUCAGAAAUGGCUGCUAAUACCGCAUAAGCGCACAGAGCUGCAUGGCUCAGUGUGACAAACUCCGGUGGUAUAAGAUGGACCCGCGUUGGAUUAGCUGGUUGGUGGGGUAACGGCCCACCAAGGCGACGAUCCAUAGCCGGCCUGAGAGGGUGAACGGCCACAUUGGGACUGAGACACGGCCCAGACUCCUACGGGAGGCAGCAGUGGGGAAUAUUGCACAAUGGGGGAAACCCUGAUGCAGCGACGCCGCGUGAAGGAAGAAGUAUCUCGGUAUGUAAACUUCUAUCAGCAGGGAAGAUAGUGACGGUACCUGACGAAGAAGCCCCGGCUAACUACGUG
rnacentral:rRNA from 1 species